rnacentral:rRNA from 1 species
AUAUGGUCAAGCGAAUAAGCGCACACGGUGGAUGCCUUGGCGGUCAGAGGCGAUGAAGGACGUGGCAGCCUGCGAAAAGUAUCGGGGAGCUGGCAACAAGCUUUGAUCCGGUAAUGUCCGAAUGGGGAAACCCACCCGCUUGCGGGUAUCCUGCAGUGAAUACAUAGCUGCUGGAAGCGAACCUGGUGAACUGAAAUAUCUAAGUAACCAGAGGAAAAGAAAUCAACCGAGAUUCCCUGAGUAGCGACGAGCGAACGGGGACUAGCCCUUAAGCUGGAAUGGUUCUAGAAAAACAGCCUGGAACGGCUGGCCAUAGAAGGUGAUAGCCCUGUAUUUAAAAGGGCCACUCCAGUGAAGACGAGUAGGGCGGGGCACGUGAAACCCUGUCUGAACAUGGGGGGACCAUCCUCCAAGGCUAAAUACUACUGACCGACCGAUAGUGAACCAGUACCGUGAGGGAAAGGCGAAAAGAACCCCGGAGAGGGGAGUGAAAUAGAUCCUGAAACCGUGUGCGUACAAGCAGUAGGAGCUCGAAAGAGUGACUGCGUACCUUUUGUAUAAUGGGUCAGCGACUUACUGUUCGUGGCAAGCUUAACCGUAUAGGGGAGGCGAAGGGAAACCGAGUCUGAUAAGGGCGCAUAGUCGCGGGCAGUAGACCCGAAACCGGGUGAUCUAGUCAUGGCCAGGGUGAAGGUGCCGUAACAGGUACUGGAGGCCCGAACCCACGUCUGUUGCAAAAGACGGGGAUGAGCUGUGAUUAGGAGUGAAAAGCUAAUCGAACCCGGAGAUAGCUGGUUCUCCUCGAAAGCUAUUUAGGUAGCGCCUCAUAUGUAUCCUCUCGGGGGUAGAGCACUGUUAUGGCUAGGGGGUCAUCGCGACUUACCAAACCAUUGCAAACUCCGAAUACCGAGACGGACUGUAUGGGAGACACACGGCGGGUGCUAACGUCCGUCGUGAAAAGGGAAACAACCCAGACCCACAGCUAAGGUCCCAAAUUCACUGCUAAGUGGAAAACCAUGUGGAAAGGCACAGACAGCCAGGAGGUUGGCUUAGAAGCAGCCACCCUUUAAAGAAAGCGUAAUAGCUCACUGGUCGAGUCGGUCUGCGGGGAAGAUUUAACGGGGCUAAGCAGUGAACCGAAGCUUGGGGUGUGCAUAUUUAUAUGUACGCGGUAGAGGAGCGUUCCGUAAGCCGUUGAAGGUGGAUUGAGAAGUCUGCUGGAGGUAUCGGAAGUGCGAAUGCUGACAUGAGUAACGAUAAUGCGGGUGAAAAACCCGCACGCCGAAAGCCCAAGGUUUCCUUGCGCAACGUUAAUCGGCGCAGGGUGAGUCGGCCCCUAAGGCGAGGACGAAAGUCGUAGUCGAUGGGAAGCAGGUUAAUAUUCCUGCACCUCGCGUAAGUGCGAUGGAGGGACGGAGAAGGUUAGGUGUACCCGGCGUUGGUUGUCCGGGGGAAAGGCGGUAGGUUUGGAUCUUUGGCAAAUCCGGGAUCCUUUAAGACCGAGCACCGAGACGAGCCUUUAAGGCGAAGUCACUGAUACCACGCUUCCAGGAAAAGCUCCUAAGCUUCAGCUUACGCAGACCGUACCGUAAACCGACACAGGUGGGUAGGAUGAGAAUUCUCAGGCGCUUGAGAGAACUCGGGUGAAGGAACUAGGCAACAUGGCACCGUAACUUCGGGAGAAGGUGCGCCCUUUUUGGUGGCUCAUGCGAGCUAUAGCUGAAGAGGGCCGCAGUAACCAGGCCGCUGCGACUGUUUAUCAAAAACACAGCACUCUGCAAACACGAAAGUGGACGUAUAGGGUGUGACGCCUGCCCGGUGCUGGAAGGUUAAUUGAUGGGGUCAGCCGCAAGGCGAAGCUCUUGAUCGAAGCCCCAGUAAACGGCGGCCGUAACUAUAACGGUCCUAAGGUAGCGAAAUUCCUUGUCGGGUAAGUUCCGACCUGCACGAAUGGCGUAACGACAGCGGCGCUGUCUCCACCCGAGACUCAGUGAAAUUGAAAUCGCUGUGAAGAUGCAGCGUUCCCGUGGCAAGACGGAAAGACCCCGUGAACCUUUACUAUAGCUUUACACUGAACGUUGAGUUCGUCUGUGUAGGAUAGGUGGGAGGCUAUGAAACUGUGGCGCUAGCUGCAGUGGAGCCAUCCUUGAAAUACCACCCUGUCGUGCUUGACGUUCUAACCUAGGUCCAUAAUCUGGAUCGGGGACCGUGUAUGGUGGGUAGUUUGACUGGGGCGGUCUCCUCCUAAAGAGUAACGGAGGAGCUCGAAGGUACGCUCAGCGCGGUCGGACAUCGCGCACUGUGUGCAAAGGCAUAAGCGUGCUUGACUGCAAGAUCGACGGAUCAAGCAGGUAGGAAACUAGGACUUAGUGAUCCGGUGGUUCUGUAUGGAAGGGCCAUCGCUCAACGGAUAAAAGGUACUCCGGGGAUAACAGGCUGAUACCGCCCAAGAGUUCAUAUCGACGGCGGUGUUUGGCACCUCGAUGUCGGCUCAUCACAUCCUGGGGCUGUAGUCGGUCCCAAGGGUAUGGCUGUUCGCCAUUUAAAGUGGUACGCGAGCUGGGUUCAGAACGUCGUGAGACAGUUCGGUCCCUAUCUGCCAUGGGCGUUGGAGAUUUGAGAGGGGCUGCUCCUAGUACGAGAGGACCGGAGUGGACGAACCUCUGGUGUUCCGGUUGUCACGCCAGUGGCAUUGCCGGGUAGCUAUGUUCGGAAGCGAUAACCGCUGAAAGCAUCUAAGCGGGAAGCGCGCCUCAAGAUGAGAUCUCCCGGGGCACAAGCCCCCUGAAGGAACCAUAUAGACUAUGUGGUUGAUAGGUCAGGUGUGUAAGUACAGCAAUGUAUUGAGCUAACUGAUACUAAUGAUCCGUGUGGCUUGACCAU